CAUACUCAGGUUCUACUAUAGUUUGCCCUGCUGGAAGUUCAUCUACAUUGUGGAAUGGGAGCUGAUGGGCUCAGUGGAGAAACUAGAUCUGAACCGGCGUCUGCCACCAAAGAGUCACAUGAAACAAGAGUGGAAACCUUUUCAUGAGAAAGAAGAAUGAAAUCCAAGCAACAUGAGAUACAUAAAUCCCAAUCCUUAAGAAUGUUCAGGUUCAGAGAAGGACAAUAAGGAUGAUAAGAGAAUGACUCAAGAAAUGCAUGUAUUGACCUGUCAGGACCAUAAGGAGGAUAAGGAGGAGCGUUUCCUCCCAGCAGCAGAACUUGAGCCUCAGGAAGAGAAACAGCCUGAUACUACUAAGGCUGAGCAGGAUUAGACCAUCCCAGCAACAGAAGCACCUAAAUUGGAUCAGGAGGAGGAGGAAGAACAGGCAUUGGCUCCCUCCACAUGACUCCAGUUCAGGGUCAAUGCCAUCCAGCUGUGAAGGUCUAAUUGAUUGGCUGAAAGAAGGAAAUAGCAACUGCACAUUCUUAUCAGGAGCUGCAUAAAAGGCUGGUGGUUGGAAAAAUUGACUGCUGGAGGAAAACUUUGUUUGGUGCUACAGCUGUGAAUCCUUGAUGCCUUGGAACUUUUGGACUACACUUGUGGAUAAUGGAUGAGCUUUGAAUCUUGGAAGAUGUUUGGACAUUAGAACUAUACUUUGAACCCUGGACUAUGACUUGGAUAUUGAAACAGGACUUGAGGUUUCAAUUGAAACCUCAAUAUGUCCUACUAGGACUAACUGACAAGGACAUCGACCUAGACCAGCAUACAGAAGUACUUUUCAACUACCUGACAACAGCGGCAAGAAUAGUAUUUGCAAGAAAAUGGAGGUUACCUACAAUUACCUACAAAACAAAAUUGGCUAAUCAAAGUUAUUGAAAUCAUGGAUAUGGUUAAAUUGAUCCAAUUAAUAUCGAGGACACCGGGGAAACCCAAAAGGACAAUGGACUGGCAACCAUUUAAAGACCACAUGAACACAGAAAGGAAGAGGAUAAUAACAUAAAUUAUGCAAAGAACUAUUGGGAAGACAAUCCCAACAAAAGUGGAGAAAAGGAGAAGUGAAGUAAGAGGAUAGAUAAGACUGACAACUGAACACGAAGAGGAAAAUUGGAAGAUAACAACUAUCCCCCUUCCCUUUUUAACCCUACAGUCCCCUCCAUAUACCUUCCCACCUUUCCUUCCACCUCUUCCUGAGAAUCCUUAGUUUCAUCACUCCCCCCUUUAGUUUCCCCUCUCUGCCAGUCCACCCUUCUUACCUGUUUCCUUUUUACCUUUAUGUACUUUUUGAAAAUCUUUAAUACAAGUUAAAAAGAAAGAAACUUGACUUGUGGUAAACUUAUGUGUAUUUUGACCCCUUGGAAAUGGACAUUGGAAUUUGGCUUGCUGGCUCCUGUUUACUGAAUUGCCUAAGUGUUAAAUCCUGGACUGCCUCUGACUACUCUUAGAAGAAAGGCUGCAGACUGUUGACAUGACCAAAUAUGAUUGACAAAGCAGCUUUCUAUGUUAUUGUGUAAUGAUAAAAGCAUAAUUUUAAUGUGUACCACAUUGAGCUGUGUGAGAAUAAGACUGUGUGUGUGGGGGGGGGGGGGGGGGGGAGUAGCAUUAUCUAAACAUGGUGUUUAGUCCUGUAGCGUUGCAAUCACUAUGUUCUCUAUUCAUAACUUAUCACAUGUUGUCUGAUUUUGCUGGUUUACCAAUUACUAUACAUUAUCAUCCUUAUCUCAUGAGUGAGUAGAUUCCCCACUCUCUCUCCCCUUUAAAAAUGUGUCUAACCUGGUCAUUGUAAAGGAUCGAACUCUAACAUUAAAGACAAAAAAAAAACC